GGCGAGGGACACGUUUAGUGCGGGGGAGCCGGUGGGGCGGCCCCUCGUAGGGACCCCUCACACCGGCCCCUCACACAGACCCCUCACAGGGACCCCUCACCCACACAACCCCGGUUCCAGAACAUUCCACACAGCCUGGAGUCCGCGGCCUCCCCGCCCCGAGGAGCCUCAGUGCCGGGGGCUGUGUGUGGCACCCCUGGGUGAGUGACACCCAUCCGGAGCACCCCCAUCCCGCUGUCCCCAGCUCUGUCCGCACUGUGUCACCCCCUGCGCUGUGGCAGAUUAACAGGAGGGUUUGGGACAGCUCUCCAGAGCUGGUGGUGUUGAGGCCGGGUGCCCAGGAACAUGAGGUGGCACCACUGUGGCACCUUGAGGGACCUCCCUGAGCACUGCUCGCAGUGCAUUGACAGUAAUGGAGCAUUCCAAGGCAUGAUGAGGCCUCAACAGCUUGCCAGGACCUUGAGAAAAGUGCUUGAGUGGCACAUUUGCUGGGGGAAGGGAUGGCUGGAAAUGUUUUCCACCCAUUGUAACACUGGAGCAAUCACACUGGAACAAUCACACUGGAACUUCACUGUGUGUCAUCGAGCACCUGGGGCUGCCCCAAGCCCUGGGAUCUGUCUGAGCCACAGAGACGGAGGUGCAGCAGCAGUGCUGAGUGCCAGGCAGCUUUUGCCCUGGCAAGAGAAGCUGAGACGCCCGUAGGAUCAUUGGGAUGGGGCAGGGAAUUGGGUGGCCACCACCCAAACGCCAUGUGGAAUAACACUGCAGGACAGAAAGCAGCUGCUAGCUCAACACCUCACUUUGUGUACAUCAGCAUCACAGUUCAGUAGAGAUUCCUCUGUGGACUGACCCACAACCCACAUGCUUGACUGUAUAUGCAUUCCUUGUUGGAAUAAGCAUGGAGGGCAAGAGCUGGCAUCAUCUCAUGCAGCCCACCUGCCUCAGUGGUGCUCCAAGGAAAGGUUCCCAGUGACCAGUUCUGACCCUCUAAGCAGCAGGUGAGAAUCAAGACAUGCAAAGAACCACUUAUAUUUUGAAAAACCAUAUAAACUUGAUCCCAGCAAAA